rnacentral:rRNA from 1 species
UACGUAGGGGGCUAGCGUUGUCCGGAAUCAUUGGGCGUAAAGAGCGUGUAGGCGGCUCGAUAAGUCUGCUGUGAAAGUCCAGGGCUCAACCCUGGAAGGCCGGUGGAAACUGUCGGGCUAGAGUCCGGAAGAGGCGAGUGGAAUUCCCGGUGUAGCGGUGAAAUGCGCAGAUAUCGGGAGGAACACCAAUGGCGAAGGCAGCUCGCUGGGACGGUACUGACGCUGAGACACGAAAGCGUGGGGAGCAAACAGG